UUUUUACUAAAUUUAGUCUUGUGCCCAGCAGCUUUGUGUUAAAAACAGUUUUCCUUUCACUUUCUGACAGGUGCAGCAGUGACAACAGUGGAACAAAAGUGACUGUGUUGAGCAUUGAUCAUGGCAUCAACAUGGGACAACUACAUGAUCGGACUGGGAUAUGAUCCAAAGGGCUUUAGUGUUGUCAAACACUAUCAUGAUGACUACAAUGGAAAUUCUGAGAUUGGAGAUCUCUUUACCGUGCAAUCAGAUAUUGGAGUCUAUCAUGCUGGCGUGUGCUAUGAUGAAGAGAUGAUUGCUCAUUUCACAAUGGAUCACAGUGGAAAUGAGAGGGGGCAUGGCUCAUUAGGUUUUUCUGGAUCUUCAAUCAGGCACGGCUUAUGUACUUCUAACUCUUCCAGUCCCAGUCCAGGUCUUAUACAAAUUGUGCUUUUGGAAGAGUUUUCUGGAGGACAAAAAUUUGCAAUUUACAGGAAGAAAGAUGGAAUUGAUGUAGAAGCAAUUAAAUCAAAUGUUAGAAAACUAAUGAAGGAAAAACCAAAGUAUAGUCUUUUAUCUACAACUGCAUUCAUUUUGCCAUGGACUGUCUUGGGCUGACGGCAAAGAAGGGACCUUAAACAAUCUUGUUUUAAGUCAGUAAUCCUGAUCAACUGACUGGAUGCUGUUGCUGUUGGACGGACAGACGGGUCACACCUCUGAUGAUGAUAGAGUAGAUUUCAUUCUGUUUCACAUGUUGAUGGGUUUCAUCAACAUUAUUUCUGCUGUAUUUGCUCUACAAAAACAAUAAAUUUCAUUUGACUAUUA